UUCGAAUAGUGUGAGUAGUUAUGUGGCGAUCCCACCUCGCCUUAGGACGAACCCUAGGGUUUAAUAGAUCACAUGUCUGACUCUCGUCAGGACUCACUCACUCACAUUAAUUUCAGAGAUAACAUUUAUAUAGACUAAACUAUUAAUAAACCAUUUACUCUCAAGUACGUUCUCCAUCAAAAACAAAACUGUCUUAAACUAUUUAACAUGUACAUCUCUCAAAACAAAGUUUGCACAGUUUUAACGUUAAGUACAAAUUCACCUAAGCACACAUUCAAGUCUCCAACUAAUACUACCGGCUUCUUCUCACCCCGUCCUCCACUCCUAUAAGGAAAAUAACUAAAGGGGUUGAGUUAAUGCCCAAUGAGGUUUCACGUAAAUUCAAUGGAAUCAUAGAACUCACAUUUCAACAAUAAAACAUGUUUCAUAAUGAUUAACAUUCUAAAACAUGUUAAUGUAAUAGGAAUAACAAAUCAAUUAAUAUCAAAGGAUACGGAACUGAUACAGACUCUGGAGGUGGCUCCCGUUUAUUUUUAGACGUAGCACUUAGCUUCGUUCAGUAAUUCAAUGUCAUUUCCCCAGUUAAACAGUAACCAAUAUUUUUCGUUCUUCUAGUGUUCAAUGAUCACCUCAAUAGGUCACACUCGAGUAUACCAUUAAACGGUACCCAAGCACAAUCGACCUACUUGACCGAACCCGUUGUUGGCUCGAAUAGGCCGACCAUCGAUGGGAUUUGGGUCCAAAACGGUCAUGCACAGUUAACAGUAACAGUUUCAAAAGUCAUUAGCUUGAGUGCAAUGAAGUAGCACUUGUUUUCAGUAAAAUAGUGGCAAUUGCCAAUUUUUCACUCUAAACAAUUCAAACGUCAAUAAUCC
rnacentral:lncRNA from 1 species